rnacentral:sRNA from 2 species
AGAAACGUUUUCUAGGGUUCCGUAUCGUGCUGCGAUGGUCUGGUCCGAGAGAAAACUACGCACAGCGUGACACGGAAGGCCAAAAUCCUGGGAGAU